ACAUCCUACGGGACGCAGCAGUGAGGAAUAUUGGGCAAUGGAGGCAACUCUGACCCAGCCAUGCCGCGUGAGUGAAGAAGGUUUUCGGAUUGUAACGCUCUUUCGGAUGUGACGAUGAUGACGGUAGCAUCUAAAGAAGCCCCGGCUAACUUCAUGCCAGCAGCCGCGGUAAUACGAAGGGGGCAAGCGUUGUUCGGAAUUACUGGGCGUAAAGGGAGUGUAGGCGGUUUAGUAAGAUAGUGGUG
rnacentral:rRNA from 1 species